GACGAACGCUGGCGGCGUGCUUAGCACAUGCAAGUCGAACAGUAAGGCCCUUCGGGGUACACGAGUGGCGAACGGGUGAGUAACACGUGGGUGAUCUGCCCUGCACUUCGGGAUAAGCCUGGGAAACUGGGUCUAAUACCGGAUAGGACUCCGGACUGCAUGGUCUGGGGUGGAAAGCUUUUGCGGUGUGGGAUGGGCCCGCGGCCUAUCAGCUUGUUGGUGGGGUGAUGGCCUACCAAGGCGACGACGGGUAGCCGGCCUGAGAGGGUGACCGGCCACACUGGGACUGAGAUACGGCCCAGACUCCUACGGGAGGCAGCAGUGGGGAAUAUUGCACAAUGGGCGCAAGCCUGAUGCAGCGACGCCGCGUGAGGGAUGACGGCCUUCGGGUUGUAAACCUCUUUCAGCAUCGACGAAGCGAAAGUGACGGUAGGUGCAGAAGAAGGACCGGCCAACUACGUGCCAGCAGCCGCAGUAA
rnacentral:rRNA from 1 species